AUGCUCAUUUUGGCAGCAUCUAAACUAAAACUGGAAUGAUACAGAGAUUAGCAUGGCCCCAUAACAAGUAUGACAUUUAAAUCUGUAAAGUGUUCCAUAAUUUU